CCUCAAUGAAUCAGACUUAUAAACCCCCCAAUGCAGGCAUUUAUCCUAUCUCCCUGACCUGUUAUAAUGGCUCCCCUGCUAUUACUCCCUUUUAAGGCUAAUUCCUCCAGUUGGGCUUUGAAUCACCUAUAAAUAGGUAAAAUACAUUAUUUUAGAAAGCAUAUUAAAUAGUAAUAAGUGCUAAAAACAAAAUAAACAAAGGAUGGAAAGGCAACAUGAAAUGAUGUCAGACUAUGAAAUUUUAAUUAAGAUGUCCAGGGAUGAUCUCACUGGGAAGGUAACUAUAUAGUGAAGAACUAAAAGAAAUGAGAAAUUCAGGUAUGUGGAUAUCUGAAGGGAGAAGGCAUGCCUGGCAUGUUUGAGACCAAAGUAACUAAAACAGAGAGAAUGAAGGGGAAGAUGUUAAGAGAUGAAAUCAGAGAUUUAUCAGGGAACCAGAUCACUUAAGUCAUUUGUCAACAUAGUAGUUUUGUUUUUACAUUGAGUGAUGUGGAAACCUAAUGAAGUGUUUUUGUAAAGAAGAAUAAUAAGAAAAUAACUAUACUUUUUAGAUAGAAGAUAAAUUUUGGAGGACUAGAGGUAGAAGCCAGAAGGCUAGUGAGGGACUAAUGCAGUAAUUCAGGACAUGAAAAAUGGUGUCCAGGAUGUAAAGAGUGGAGUGGGAAGAAGUUGUUAAUUUUGGGUAUAAUUUCAUGCAGAACCAAGAGAAUUUGUUGAAGCAAUAGUCGUGAAGAAUGAGAAAGAAAGGGAAAACAAAGCAAAAAAAAAUACUAUCAAGAUGUAUGAAGGAAUUGAAUUACUGUUUAACUGAGAUGGGAAUGACUACAGAAGGAGCCACAAGUUUAAUGGCGAGAGGUCGAUAUCAGGAGGUGAACAACCAGGACAGCAUGGUUUCUGCAUUUCCAGCUCUAACAGUCUGUAAUUCUAUGAUGGCAACCAUUUGGGGUCUGGUGAUGUCACUGACAUCUGGAGAAGAGAAAAACAAGGCCACAGGAACCAGUUUGGAGAAUGAGAUCAAUUGGCAUACGAUUCCUGGUAAUUUCUACACCCAACAUGGGGUUCAAACUCAUGACCCUGGGAUCAAGAGUUGUAUGCUCUUCCGACUGAGCCAGCCAGAUCCUACGUUGUUUCCCCAGCCUUGCGAUUGUCCUUCUACAGUCACACAUCAGGGACAUGUCCUCACCGCUGGUCUCUCAUCUAUCUUACAACUGACCGGCUCCAAAAAUAUUUCUGCUGACAAACUUCACUUUGUGUCAUAAAUAUUGAAUAAGUUUUCAAGGAGUUGUUGAUUAUAUAGCGAGAGAUGGUUUGUGAAUUUGGGGGCAAGCAUGUAUGUAGAUACUGAUGACAUGACAUCACGGAAGUAUGUGGGCGUAGUGUCCUGUCAAAUCCUACCAUUGCUAUUCAGCUUGGAUUCUGUUUUUACAUGGGUUGAAAGUUACUUUACAAACAUCUGUACACAUUUCAUAUGUGUUUGUUUAUUUUCUUAUGUUACCUUAUUUUGAGGAAGGAGAUUUGAGUUUUAAUUUUUUUUUCCAUUUAAUCCUGUCAUCUGGUCUCCUCUAAAGUUCCUACUUAAAUGUUUUCUGAGAUAAUAAAAACACAUCAGCCGUUCUUUAUUUUUAAGUCAAAUUCCUGAUCAUCCCUCGUAAUUAUGUAAAUUUUUUAAAAUCUGAUUUUUAUUUUGCUUUUUCUAAUCUAGUAAAUUCUUAAUUAAUGCCUAUGCAUAUAACCUAUUUCAUAUUUUUAAAUAACUGUGGUUUUUUUGGUAAGUGCUUAAUAAAACAACCAAUUAAUCAACCAACAAACAAAUAAGUAAAUAAAGAUAAAUAAAUUGACUGACUAAAAAGGGCCUUUGGCUAAGGGAAACCCAAUACUAUUUUGGCGUUCUUGAAUGAGUUCACAUGAGAAAUUUAGAUCCAUGCAGAACAUAAGCUGAGUUUAGCAACCAAAGCCUGACAUUCUGGCAAUUUCACCAGACUUGUAAAAGCUGUUAUUUUUGACUAACUAAAUGAAAUUUGCAUUGAUUACCUAAACAGACUGACAUUCAUUUGCGUGAACAUGAUGAAUCUACAGCAAGCACACAAGCCAAGUAGCAUGUUCUUUGGAAAAUAGUUUCUGUGUGAAAUUAAUAAAUUCUUUUCCUCUUUUCAACAUGGG
rnacentral:lncRNA from 1 species